AAAGGCGCUCGUCCUCCAGUGCUCGUCCUCUAGUGCUCGUCCUCCAGUGCUCGGUGGGUAAAGGCACUCGUUCUCCAGGCUCGUCCUCCAGUGCUCGUCCUCCAGUGCUGGGUGGGUAAAGACGCCCGUCCUUCAGUCUGAUGACUCAAGUUUAUCCCUGAGACUCAGAUGGUGGAAGGAGAAUGCUGACUCCCGCAGGUUCUCUUUUGACUUCCACAUGUAUGCUGUGGUGUGUGCCAAUAGCACAUGCAUGUGCACAUUCACAAAUACACAUGAAAAGUAAAUGAAAAAUUUACCCUAAGUCCAACUUUACCUUCUAAGAAGUAAUCACCAAGCUGGAGGGAUGGCUCAGUUUGUAAAGUGGUUGCAAGUCUGAGCCCAAAUUAAAUUAGGGCCCAGGUAAACAGCUCUGUGUGUGUGCGUGUGUGUGUGCGUGUGUGUGUGUGUGUGUGUGUUGCCUAUGCCUGUAAACCCAGCCCAGAUCAGUAAGAGUAUCCUGUCUCAAAAGAACAAGAUGUACAGGACUUGAGUAACACUCAGAGUUGUCUCUGGUCUCCACACUUACGUAUCUGCGCACACAAAGGAAGUGCCACCAUUUGUGGUUUGACCAAUUGAUAUAAAAUUUAUGGGCAAGAUCAAGGGCCCUUUGUUUUGCUUUGUUUUGUUUUGUCAUGAAGAGAAGGCCAGGGUGUGGCUGAGUGCCCUGGUGAUGCAGUUUUCAAGACCAGUCCAUUCCAGUACCACCCAGCACCCCCUACUGGCCUACAUUUCUGUUAUCUCUGGGACUUGACUGUGAUAACACAUAUUUUCCUUGGUGCAAGUGCUGUUAGUGUAAACCCAAGAAGUGGAAAGUCUCCAUCAGAGGAUCUGUGCCAUUUUAAGUUCUGCACUGAUUCCCUGGUGCCCUCCAGAAAUGCUGUGUGACUCACUGCCCCUCCAUGCUGAACACAUAAGGUCCCUGUUUCUGGCAGCUUUUCCCUCCAAUAGCACUGCUGUAUUCUCGGGUAAGUGGACUUUAAGAGUAGGCCUGGGUGGCUGGGUGGCUGGGUGGCCAUGGCUGCAAGGUGACCCAUGUAGCUUUCUAAGGAGACCGGCCAUUCAGCAAUCUUGGAAGUCUAGAUUAAGCAAAGGUAAACAUUUGAGGAGGCGAACCGGAAAACUGGGAGUCAGUAGCAUUGCGUCAGUCAGUAUUUCUUUCUUUAGCAUAGUAAGGACUUAAAUAUGCUCAAAACAUAUUCUUCUUUUUAAUUUUACACAAAUAUGUUCCCAGGUUGACACCUCUGAUGCCGAGUUUCUAGGGGGAAGAACUUCUGCUGCAAAGACAGGAAGGCUGCAGAGAGCCACUGAGGACGGCAGCACCAGAGAGAGGGCUGCCCACUCAGCACCACGCUGCCCUAUACUGCUUUGGUUUGACUGCAGCUAUGGGUUGGAGAACCAGCAGACUCUCUUCUGCACUACGUACUGGUCUUUUAAAUUUUUCAGAAGAAAUAUGUGCCCCUGAAACAAGCCAGUCAGCAGAGGGGGAUAAAAGACAUCGCAGCUUCCCAGAUCUCCUCUGGCAUGGUGCUCCCAGGAAGAAGAACUUGGCCUCCUCCCUCCACCAGAGCCUCUCCCGAAGACCCUCGGGACUCGCAGACGUGUGUCUUUGCUCACCUUCCCGCAUAUUUUCCCAGGUUAACACAACAGACCACCCCUGGUGGCACACGUGUGGGCUGGCUUUCCUCCUCAGCAAAGCAGCCUUGACCGUUUUCUUCCCUGUGACAGAGCCCGUGGGUCAAAGCACACAGUUUCAGUUUGGGUUUUUUAAUGAAAGUGGGUGACUAGGUGAGUGAUAUGUGGAUUGUGAAUGGGCUUGUGUGCCCACACGUUCUCUCUCACACACAAUAAAUAAA